GUGAGCCGCAUGCGGGGAGACCCGCACGUACGGUUUUCAGGGGGAUCUGGCCGGCCGGCGCCCACCCGAC
rfam:Triticum urartu cultivar G1812 contig831535, whole genome shotgun sequence.